rnacentral:lncRNA from 1 species
UUCGAAUGGCAUGCAGAUCAAGAAAAUACAGAUCAAACUCAAAACGCAGAUCAAGCAGAACAAAUGCAGAUCAAGCAGAUCAUGUAGAACAAAUGCAAAUCUAACUGGUUAAGCUAAUUUAUCAAAUUAGUGUAUUUAACCAAAUAUUAAAAAUAAUUUUGUAAAUUAAAUAUCUAAAACAAAAAUACAAAUUCUCAUCAAUUAUUUUUUAUUAAUUUAAUAAAUGCAAAGAAAUUUUAAACAUUAUAUAAAAGUUAACACAAUUAUAACAAAAAAAAAAUCAUAAACAAAAAAAAGUAUAAUUCUAAUAAAUAUAUUGAAACCUUAAAAAUUAUAUAAAAUUCAUUAAAAUGACAAAGAGUAUUCCUUUUCCAUUUAAUUAUUUUUAUAGUCCAAAUUACGAGUUUUACCGGUUUUUACAAGAUUUGAAGGUUUAAUUCAAAUCCGAAUUUUAGAGCAACCCGAAACAUGAAUAUGGAUGAGUUACGGUUUGACCGGCC